CAUGUAGUAGAUCAACAAUAUAUGUAAACCUUCAUAAGUUUUACAAGAUUUCUUUUUUUUUUUAACAUUUUUAAAUCAUAAACAUAAGUAACAUUAUACUGCAUGUAACUGUGUUUAAAAACUAAUAAAACAUUGUAACACUAAUUUAUUUCAUUUUUCUCAGAAACCUUAAAACUGUACCCAAGAACAGCAGUACCUGGAACUAGGGCUGCACGAUGUUCACAUCGCAGGAUGUGCGAUGUAGGCUGUCGGAGUUGAUCCGUUAUUCAUUAACAGUACGGGCCAGCUGCUCCCCGGCUCUUGACAAAUGUGAUUCGCGGAUUAAUUGUACAGCUUAACCAUCAUAGAGUGAAAGUUUACCAUUUACAUGUGUUUUUAAAUCCUGUCAGUUUAACAGGGCAUAGAGAGAGCGUGCGAGAGAGAACAGAGGGAGAGAGAGAGAGAGAAAGAGGGAGAGAGAGCGAGCCCCGGCCGCACGCUCACCAUCUUCAAACAACACAAGCGCUAUCUUGCUCUCUCCCUCGCACAUAUUAAUUGACAUGAUGGUGUCAAUGUUUAAAUCAUUUAAAAUGAGAAUGUAAGUGCGCUCACCCCAUUUUUGUUUGUAAGAAAAAAUUUGAUUAGAUUUCAUAUCGCAAUAUAUACUAUCGCAGAAAAAUAAAAUAUCGCAAUGUCAUUUUUUCCCAAUAUCGUGCAGCCCUACCUGGAACUGUUAUUUCAAGAAAAACGCUUUCGUUUCAAAGAUAAUUAUAUAUAGACCUUACAAAAUAAUGUGAAAAUACAGUAUCUGACCCUUACCUAAACUAUAAACAAUGUAUCUUACUUAUGCUAGUUCAUCCAUGUGUC